rnacentral:rRNA from 1 species
CAAAUUACCCAAUUCUGACACAGGGAGGUAGUGACAAGAAAUAACAAUACAGGGCAUUAAUGUCUUGUAGUUGGAAUGAGUUUAAUUUAAACCCCUUUACGAGUAACAAUUGGAGGGCAAGUCUGGUGCCAGCAGCCGCGGUAAUUCCAGCUCCAAUAGCGUAUAUUAAAGUUGUUGCGGUUAAAAAGCUCGUAGUUGGAUUUCUGUCUGAGGCGGCCGGUCCGCUUUCUGAGUGAGCAUCUGGUCCGCUUUGGGCAUCCUCCUGGGGAACGUUUCCGCGCUUGAUUGUGUGGUACGGAAUCUAGGACUUUUACUUUGAGGAAAUUAGAGUGUUCACUGCAGGCAUACGCCUUGAAUACGUUAGCAUGGAAUAAUAAGAUAGGACCUCGGUUCUAUUUUUUCGGUUUCUAGAGCUGAGGUAAUGAUUAACAGGGAUAGUUGGGGGCAUUCGUAUUUAACUGUCAGAGGUGAAAUUCUUGGAUUUGUUAAAGACGAACUACUGCGAAAGCAUUUGCCAAGGAUGUUUUCAUUGAUCAAGAACGAAAGUUAGGGGAUCGAAGACGAUCAGAUACCGUCCUAGUCUUAACCACAAACCAUGCCGACUAGAGAUUGGAGGCCGUUUCUUAUACGACACCUUCAGCACCUUACGAGAAAUCAAAGUCUUUGGGUUCCGGGGGGAGUAUGGUCGCAAGGCUGAAACUUAAAGGAAUUGACGGAAGGGCACCACCAGGAGUGGAGCCUGCGGCUUAAUUUGACUCAACACGGGGAAACUUACCAGGUCC